CAGCAGUGAGGAAUCUUCCACAAUGGGCGAAAGCCUGAUGGAGCAACGCCGCGUGCAGGAUGAAGGCCUUCGGGUUGUAAACUGCUUUUAUAAGUGAGGAUUAUGACAGUAACUUAUGAAUAAGGAUCGGCUAACUACGUGCCAGCAGCCGCGGUCAUACGUAGGAUCCGAGCGUUAUCCGGAGUGACUGGGCGUAAAGAGUUGCGUAGGUGGUUCGAUAAGCGAAUAGUGAAAUCUGGUGGCUCAACCAUUCAGACUAUUAUUCGAACUGUUGAACUCGAGAGCAGAAGAGGUAGCUGGAAUUUCUAGUGUAGGAGUGAAAUCCGUAGAUAUUAGAAGGAACACCGAUGGCGUAGGCAGGUUACUGGGCCAUUUCUGACGCUAAGGCACGAAAGCGUGGGGAGCGAACCGGAUUAGAUACCCGGGUAGUCCACGCCGUAAACGAUGGAUACUAGCUGUUUGGGGUAUCGACCCCCUGAGUAGCGAAGCUAACGCGUUAAGUAUCCCGCCUGUGGAGUACGAUCGCAAGAUUAAAACAUAAAGGAAUUGACGGGGACCCGCACAAGCGGUGGAUCAUGUUCUUUAAUUCGAUGAUAACCGAUAAACCUUACCAGGUCUUGACAUCCUUGGAAUCUUUCAGAAAUGAGAGAGUGCUUUUUAAGAGCCAAGUGACAGGUGAUGCAUGGCCGUCGUCAGCUCGUGUCGUGAGAUGUUUGGUUAAGUCCAUCAACGAGCGCAACCCUUGUCAGUAGUUGUAUUUUUCUACUGAGACUGCCCCGGUAACGGGGAGGAAGGAGGGGAUGACGUCAGGUCAGUAUUUCCCUUACGUCCUGGGCUAGAAACGUGAUACAAUGGCUAGUACAAUGCGCAGCGAAGCCGCGAGGUGAAGCAAAUCGCAUCAAAGCUAGUCCCAGUUCGGAUUGUAGGCUGAAACUCGCCUGCAUGAAGUCGGAAUCGCUAGUAAUCGCAGAUCAGCAUGCUGCGGUGAAUACGUUCCCGGGUCUUGUACACACCGCCCGUCAAACCAUGAAAGUCACUAACACCCGAAGUCCGAUUCGUCGGCCUAAGGUGGGAGGGAUGAUUGGGGUUAAGUCGUAACAAGGUAUCCGUACCGGAAGGUGCGGAUG
rnacentral:rRNA from 1 species